GUAGGUUUCUGAGGUGUCUGUUGUUACUGUCACUCAGCAGGCCAGUGGUUCGCUAUAGAGGAGUGUAUUGCUGGGGAGUUCAGAAGUUUAACAAUAACAACGGGGACGAGAUUGUCCCAACCAACCUUCUGGAGGAGACCAUGCUGGCCUUCAGCCACUGGACAUACGAGUACACCCGGGGAGAGCUGUUAGUGCUGGACCUACAAGGAGUGGGGGGAGAUUCUGACUGAUCCAUCUGUCAUAAAGAGUGGAGAGAAGGGGUCAUAUGACAUGAUAUUUGGUCCUGCCAACCUGGGAGACGACGCCAUCAGAAACUUCCGGGCCAAACACCACUGCAACUCUUGCUGCAGGAAACUCAAACUUCCUGAUCUGAAGCGGAACGAGUACACACCGGACAAACUGAUGCUGCCUCAGGACGAAUCACACGACCCCGGAAGCGGGACCCGCCACUCAAUGAGGCUCAUGCUCUGAUCCUAUAGGACACAACCAGAGAGAAGAGGCCGGUGCUGUUAUUCUAUUGGCCAAUGCCAGAGAGGAGGGAGGAAGAAGUAGUGCGCACAGCUCAUGGCUAGAARGGAUCCAGCUUUUGUCAAAUUAGCAUCAGAUUUGAGUUUUCGUUGCAGAUUGGAAGGACUUAACGCAGCAGGUUAGGAGAAUUAUGUUAAUGUUAGGAAAAUAUUUAGGGUUAGCAAAAAAUAUAUAUAUACUUUUUUCAUUCAUUUGACAAAAGCUGGAUAAGGUGGGUCUAGCCAUGACACACCUCAUCCAAUCAACUGGAAGAGCCACACCUGUGUUUCCAUGGAGACGCAUGCAUGCAGAACUGUUACUUUUGUAUCUGCCCAACCAAGGCCAAUCAGCAACCAAGAUGAUUUAAAAAAAUUAAAAAAAUGUAAAUGGGGAACAAAACUUUUUAAAGAUGUUUUUUACUACAAGUUUAUAUGUUAUGAGUGUGUAUAUAUCUAUAUAUAAAUGGCUAUCAACAGGUACAAUAUCAUUGCAUAAAGAGACAGUAUAGUACUUAUUCUGAACUAUGAAAAGUUGCCUUGUAUAAACUAAAGUGCAUUGUCUGUCUGUAAUGCAAGACUGUAAGGGUCAACCUGCUGAGAUACAAUUUGCAACACUUUAUACAGAAUGUCACCAGAUACUUUUUUAUAAAUGUAAAAUACAUGUAUUAUUAUGGCAUUAGUGGUUCAUAUUUAAUGAGAAGACACAUGAAUUUGAAAAUCUUGUAAAAUAUGGGCAGAUUGCAAUGCAACUUUUACAGUACAUAUGUAAUAAUUGUAUUGUGUUGAACUCUUCUGAAAUGUGUCCACUGAAUAUUGCUGAUAGUUUUUAAAUGUUACAAUGCUGGUACUAUUAUUGUUAUUUCUUUGUCAUCACGUAUUGAAUGAGCAAAUACCAAUCUAGUGUAUCUUAUAGAUACUUAUAUCUGCUACUGAGCAGAAGCAGAUGCUGUUUWUUUCAGGGGAGUGUAAGGGUCUAUUACUCUAUACAUGUUCUACUGUAUAACAUUUUAAACGAAUAAAAUGACAGUUAUGUUCCA